rnacentral:rRNA from 1 species
UGGGGAAUUUUGCACAAUGGGCGAAAGCCUGAUGCAGCAACGCCGCGUGAGUGAAGAAGGCCUUCGGGUCGUAAAGCUCUUUCGACUGGAAAGAAGGUUGUGUCAGUGAAUAAUUGGCACAACUGACGGUACCAGAUGAAGAAGCACCGGCUAACUCCGUGCCAGCAGCCGCGGUAAUACGGAGGGUGCAAGCGUUGUUCGGAAUUACUGGGCGUAAAGCGCACGUAGGUGGGUUUGUAAGUCGAUUGUGAAAUACCUGGGCUUAACCCGGGAACUGCAGUCGAAACUGCAAAUCUUGAAUGCUUGAGAGGGUGAUGGAAUUCCCGGUGUAGAAGUGAAAUUCGUAGAUAUCGGGAGGAACACCAGAGGCGAAGGCGGUCACCUGGCGAUGCAUUGACAC